rnacentral:lncRNA from 12 species
AUGCCUAAUCAGCUCCAGCCUGACCCUCCAUUUCAAGUUCAGGUUCCUACAACUGGAUGUUUCCUGGCCAUUUUGAAAAGUUAUUGCAUUCUAUUUGAGACAAGAUCAGUGGAGGUCAAAGGUCAGAACACUUGACUGGAGGUAUGACAUUAGGAAAAUGGGCAUUUCAGUAAUCAUUCUGAACUUGAUUUGGAGCAAAUAAUAAGGCAGAGACACCUUUGAUCUACUGACUGAGGCCCAGACGUGGCCUGGUAUUUUUUGCUAGUGCUAUAUCUCUAGAGUUCAU